CACGUAGGGUGCGAGCGUUGUCCGGAAUUAUUGGGCGUAAAGAGCUCGUAGGUGGUUUGUCGCGUUGUUCGUGAAAACUCACAACUCAAUUGUGGGCGUGCGGGCGAUACGGGCAGACUGGAGUACUGCAGGGGAGACUGGAAUUCCUGGUGUAGCGGUGGAAUGCGCAGAUAUCAGGAGGAACACCGGUGGCGAAGGCGGGUCUCUGGGCAGUAACUGACGCUGAGGAGCGAAAGCGUGGGGAGCGAACAGG
rnacentral:rRNA from 1 species